rfam:Picea glauca, whole genome shotgun sequence.
GUCUGGGUGGUGUAGUUGGUUAUCAUGUUAGUCUCACACACUAAAGGUCCCCAGUUCAAACCUCGGCUUAGACA